CAGAACAUUACAUGUUCUUUGUUGAGAUCAUAGAAGCAAACCUUGAAGUCCCAUGAGAUGCAACCACUGCAUGAGUCUACGUAUGAGAGCAGAGCG
rnacentral:lncRNA from 1 species